AGUGAACGCUGGCGGCAGGCCUAAUACAUGCAAGUCGAACGGCAGCACAGUGGAGCUUGCUCCAUGGGUGGCGAGUGGCGGACGGGUGAGGAAUACAUGGGAAUCUGCCCAGUCGUGGGGGAUAACGUAGGGAAACUUACGCUAAUACCGCAUGCGCCCUUCGGGGGAAAGCCGGGGACCGUAAGGCCUGGCGCGAUUGGAUGAGCCCAUGUCGGAUUAGCUAGUUGGCGGGGUAACGGCCCACCAAGGCGACGAUCCGUAGCUGGUCUGAGAGGAUGAUCAGCCACACUGGAACUGAGACACGGUCCAGACUCCUACGGGAGGCAGCAGUAGGGAAUAUUGGACAAUGGGCGCAAGCCUGAUCCAGCCAUGCCGCGUGAGUGAAGAAGGCCCUCGGGUUGUAAAGCUCUUUUGUCCGGAAGAAAGCACUGGGUUAAUACCCCGGUGUCCUGACGGUACCGGAAGAUAAGCACCGGCUAACUUCGUGCCAGCAGCCG
rnacentral:rRNA from 1 species